UACGUAGGGUCCGAGCGUUGUCCGGAAUUAUUGGGCGUAAAGAGCUCGUAGGCGGUUUGUCGCGUCUGCUGUGAAAUCCCGAGGCUCAACCUCGGGCCUGCAGUGGGUACGGGCAGACUGGAGUGCGGUAGGGGAGAAUGGAAUUCCUGGUGUAGCGGUGGAAUGCGCAGAUAUCAGGAGGAACACCAAUAGCGAAGGCAGCUCGCUGGGACGUUACUGACACUGAGGCGCGAAAGCGUGGGGAGCGAACAGG
rnacentral:rRNA from 1 species